GUUUUAAGCCAUGCGAGUUAUGCGCCUUCAAGCUAUGUUGAGGGUGCAGCGUACGGCUCAAUAACACGUAGUUAAUCUGCCCUUGGGACGGGAAUAACCCUGGGAAACUGGGGCUAAUGCCCGAUAGGCGCAGUGGCCUGGAAUGGUACUGCACCUAAAGGGCUCCAGGAACAUGCUCUUGGAGUCGCCCAAGGAUGAGACUGCGGCCGAUCAGGUUGUUGGUGGGGUAACGGCCUACCAAGCCUAUAACCGGUACGGGCCCUGAGAGGGGGGGCCCGGAGAUGGGAACUGAGACAAGGUCCCAGGUCCUACGGGGCGCAGCAGGCGCGAGAACUCCACAAUGCGCGAAUGCGUGAUGGGGUCAGCCCGAGUGCCGUCCGAUGAGGAUGGCUUUUCUCCAGUUUAAGGAGCUGGAGGAAUAAAGGGGGGGCAAGACUGGUGUCAGCCGCCGCGGUAAUACCAGCCCCCUGAGUGGUAAGGACGAUUAUUUGGCCUAAAGCGUCCGUAGCCGGCUUGGUAAGUCUUCCGUUAAAUCCGGCGAUUCCAUCGUCGGGCCGCGGAAGAUACUGCUAGGCUUGAGGACGGGAGAGGUCGACGGUAGUCCCAGGGUAGGGGUGAAAUCCUAUAAUCCUGGGAGGACCACCAGUGGCGAAGGCGGUCGACUAGAACGUGCCUGACGGUGAUGGACGAAAGCUGGGGGAGCGAACCGGAUUAGACACCCGGGUAGUCCCAGCUGUAAACGAUGCGAGCUAGGUGUUAGAGCAACUAUGGGUUGCUCUAGUGCCGCAGAGAAGUUGUUAAGCUCGCCGCCUGGGAAGUACGGCCGCAAGGCUGAAACUUAAAGGAAUUGGCGGGGGAGCACCACAAGGGGUGAAGCCUGCGGUUCAAUUGGAGUCAACGCCGGGAAACUUACCGAGGCUGACAGCAGAGUGAAGGCCAGAUUAAGGGUCUUGCCAGACAAGCUGAGAGGAGGUGCAUGGCCCUA
rnacentral:rRNA from 1 species